GACGAACGCUGGCGGCGUGCUUAACACAUGCAAGUCGAACGGAAAGGCCCUGCUUUUGUGGGGUGCUCGAGUGGCGAACGGGUGAGUAACACGUGAGUAACCUGCCCUUGACUUUGGGAUAACUUCAGGAAACUGGGGCUAAUACCGGAUAGGAGCUCCUGCUGCAUGGUGGGGGUUGGAAAGUUUCGGCGGUUGGGGAUGGACUCGCGGCUUAUCAGCUUGUUGGUGGGGUAGUGGCUUACCAAGGCUUUGACGGGUAGCCGGCCUGAGAGGGUGACCGGCCACAUUGGUGCUGAGUUAGGGUCCAGACUCCUACGGGAGGCAGCAGUCGCGAAUGUUGUACAAGGGGCGGAAGCAUGAGGGAGUAACGCAGUGCGUGGAGUAAGGGCCUUCUGGUGGUAAAACGCAUUCGCCUGUCACGAAGCGGGAGUGACGGUACGGGGUAAAGAAGCACCGGCUAACUAAGUG
rnacentral:rRNA from 1 species